rnacentral:rRNA from 1 species
GACGAACGCUGGCGGCGUGCUUAACACAUGCAAGUCGAACGAAGAGCGACGGAAGCUUGCUUCUAUCAAUCUUAGUGGCGAACGGGUGAGUAACGCGUAAUCAACCUGCCCUUCAGAGGGGGACAACAGUUGGAAACGACUGCUAAUACCGCAUACGAUCUAAUCUCGGCAUCGAGGAUGGAUGAAAGGUGGCCUCUACAUGUAAGCUAUCACUGAAGGAGGGGAUUGCGUCUGAUUAGCUAGUUGGAGGGGUAACGGCCCACCAAGGCGAUGAUCAGUAGCCGGUCUGAGAGGAUGAACGGCCACAUUGGGACUGGGACACGGCCCAGACUCCUACGGGAGGCAGCAGUGGGGAAUCUGCCGCAAUGGACGAAAGUCUGACGGAGCAACGCCGCGUGAGUGAUGACGGCCUUCGGGUUGUAAAGCUCUGUUAAUCGGGACGAAAGGCCUUCUUGCGAAUAGUGAGAAGGAUUGACGGUACCGGAAUAGAAAGCCACGGCUAACUACGUG